UCAGACGAUGCGUCAUGCAUAUCAAUAAGCGGAGGAAAAGAAACUAACAAGGAUUCCCCUAGUAACGGCGAGUGAAGCGGGAAGAGCUCAAAUUUGAAAUCUUAAAGGGUUUCCCUUUACGAAUUGUAGUUUAAAGAAGUGUUUUCUGUUGAGGUUUUGGUAAAAGUUCUUUGGAAUAGGACAUCAUAGAGGGUGAGAAUCCCGUAUUUGACCUUUACUUUCAACUUUGUGAUACACUUUCAAAGAGUCGGAUUGUUUGGGAAUGCAGUCCAAAAUGGGUGGCAAAUUUCAUCUAAAGCUAAAUAUUGGCGAGAGACCGAUAGCGAACAAGUACCGUGAGGGAAAGAUGAAAAGAACUUUGAAAAGAGAGUUAAACAGUACGUGAAAUUGUCAAAAGGGAAGCGUUUGACACCAGUGUUGUUUUUCUGAAAAUCAAUUAAAGAACUGUUUAUGCUAAGCUGUUUAGACUUUAUCAGCUAAUCUGUUUAGUUUUGAGCUUUUCUUUAAUGCACUUUUCAGUUAACAAGUCAACAUCAAUUUCUUUUGCUGUAAAAAAGCUUGAGGAAGGUGGCUUGAGAUUCGUCUUAAGUGUUUAUAGCCUCUUGCCUAUGCAGUCGGAGAGAUUGAGGUCUGCAGCGUAGAUCCUUCGGGGCUAAAUGCAUUUGUGCUAAGUUAUAGCAUUUUAUAGACAACUUGUUGACUAUGAUUUGUCUUGUAGCUUACUCGCUUAUGUUAUUUUACCUACGCUUAGGAUGUUGACACACGCGCGUGCUCG
rnacentral:rRNA from 1 species